GAGAGAGAGAGAGAGAGAAGGAAACCACUGGCAUCCGUUUUCCUCCCACUGGCAGUUGCUUCAAGGCUGAGAUGGCGGCAGGGCUGCCUCAGUCCCGCUGUGGGCUCUUCCAACACCUGCUCUUCUCCCUCUGGGCCCUGCAGAGUGGCCUAGUUACCAGCAACCCUAGAGUGAAAGUGACCCAGCACCCACCAGUGGUCAGCAAACAGCAGGGCGAGACCCUGGAGCUGAGCUGCGGCGUCAACCAAGUAAACUGGUUUUUCUAUUGGUACCGCCAGAAACCUGGAGAGCCAAACCUACAAUACCUUGGGACUUUCAGCACCUAUAGUAGCGAUUUGGAGGACACAAAAAGUAGCCUCGAUAGUCGGCUGAGUGGCAAACGGAAAGACAAUGAAACAACUUUGUACCUAAAAGGCCUCCAGAUUAACGACACAGGGCUGUAUCUCUGUGCUUCAAAGGACACAGUGACUGUAGCAGCACCAGGAGCUGUCACAAAACUGACUACCAAACAAUAGUAGACUUCUUCGUGUGCUGCUGAGAAACAUGUCCUCUCUAUAAAUUAGUGGCACAUUUCCCACUGCAAACAGGCUUCGUGUAUAUUCA